rnacentral:sRNA from 12 species
CCUAGUAACCGUUUUUAACGAAGUAAGCUAGGCUAUACGCUUAUUUGCUAUGGGAGCUUGCUCUUAUAAAAUACAAUCACAACACCUAAUGUGUGAAGUGAUGGUGAAAACAAGAAGUAAAUAGGCUAACUUGG